GCGUUCACCAAAGAAUAAGCAUUUAAGCCAGGCUAUAAGGGACUACAAGGUGUUUUAGACCUCUGUCUGGCUGCAGACCAACAUUUCACCCACCACAAGGUUUUAUAAUGAGAAAGUCGCCACUUGGUUGGGUGGUGUUUUUGGUGCGAAUACACAAAAAAAAAAAAGGUUUUGUCUUAAACAUGGUUUUUUCCAAUUUUCGAAGGGGUUUUUUGGCAAAAGCACUCAAGUUCGUACUGUAUGUUGGUUGUAAUAUGUUGUUUUUGUUGUAUGUUGUUUUUUUUUAAAUUUCUUUAUUCAUUUCAUUGCUUCAAUGAAAAAAAAUGAGUUUUUGUUAGAGAUCCGCAGGGAACUCAUAAAUACACAGGAGGGAAGUAAGCAGAAGGAUGACUAUCAAAGUUGCAAAGGAAGUUUUCUGUUCUUAUAACAGAAAACAUAAUGGAAAGGAACUGUGGUGAGCAUAAAUGUUUUGAUACUGUGUAUUACAGCUAAUAAUAUCACAUCAUCUUUGUUUUUUUUUUUCAUAUAUGUAUAAUACCUUUAAAAUAAUAAAUUUUGUUUCCUUGUCAUAAAUAAAAUGUGUUUAAUGGCUGUUCGGUAGUUGGAGUUUUUGCUUCAAAAGCCUAUAACAAAAAUGAGUUUUUGUUAGAGAACCACAGGGAACUCAUAAAUACACAGGAGGGAAGUAAAGCAGAAGGAUGACUAUCAAAGUUGCAAAGGAAGUUUUCUGUUCUUAUAACAGAAAACAUAAUGGAAAGGAACUGUGGUGAGCAUAAAUGUUUGAUACUGUGUAUUACAGCUAAUAAUAUCACAUCAUCUUUGUUUUUUUUUUCUUCAUAUGUAUAAUACCUUUAAAAUAAUAAAUUUUGUUUCCUUGUCAUAAAUAAAAUGUGUUUAAUGGCUGUUCGGUCGUUUGAACAAGAUCACACACACACUUAACACAUUUCCAUACAUUAUUCACAUAUAUUUUUCAAGCGCCUUGAGACAGUUUCGAUCGUGGAAGGCACUAUAUAAAUAUAAAACCAUAACCAUAACCAUAUCUUUAGUAUUGAUGCAACAGAUGGCCAAGGUCUUGGAAGAAUGGUCAAUGACAUACAGGCAAAGGACCAAAAUUGUAAAAUGAAGAUGGUCAUCAUUGUUUGCCACAAAAGAUAUUUACAUAUUAAAAUGAAGAAUUAAAGUACGACUAUGACGUACCAGACCUGCCUUGGCGAAAAAUCUUGAUGAACUACAACAGGACAAAACUCCAAGUACAGUGAGACACUACUUAACAAGCGCUCAGUUUGAAGUACGCAACGUUUGAGUUGGACAUAUCGUCUUCUGAGCUCAUUAGAGCUCAGAAUAUUAUACGACUGCUGGGAAAGCAGCUGGUCAAGGAUACAUAGACAAAGAAAGAAGCAAAAAAUAAAUGGUAAGAGUUGACAUACAAUUCAUUUAUUUAUUUUGAUUACAUAGUCUGUAACCCUUUGGGUACUUGUUAAGAUACACAAACCAAUGCUCUCUUUUUUUUUUACUUUACUAGAAUCUCAGAGCGACUUCAAGCAGUCCCUACUUUCAAGCAGGAAACACAAACGGCGUCAAGCCAUGCAAACCAUUUCCGAGUUUAAUACAAUCUAUGGAGGAAAGGAAGAAAAUAUCUUUAAUGCAAAAUAUCUAAGGCAGUUCACCAGAUUACAGAUAACAAUUAAAUUGAUAACCCAGUCUGAGCACUAUACAUCUGGAGAUAAAUUAAGACGUGGAGGAUGAGGUAACGGCAGUGCUGCGAGAGGCGUAUAACAGCCACCAACGCCUCCACAGAGCGGUCGCAGCGUCUAGAAGUCGUGAGAGCCGAGAGCGGGCGGUUUGGGUACUGUGCCUUGCCCUCGACAAUCUGCGGUGCCUGGCCGAGCUCUCAGGCAAUCUGCUCUAGCCGCCGGAUCGCCUGUGAGUACUGCAGCAGUAAGAAAAAAGAAAAAAAAAGUUCCUGUUUUUUCGCCAUUUCUAAUAGCUGUUGUUGUUCUAGAGUUCAUGUUUUUAUUGUUCUUUGGAGUCCGAAAUUAUGGGAUUCACCACAACCCCAUUUUUUUAUCGGUUCUUGGUAUUUUCUCUUUCACCUACAAAAAAAAUCCAAAAAAACAACUGUGAUGAGCAAGCCAGUAGAAUCCGGGAGAAGGCAUUCUAAAAAAAUAAAAGUGGGACGAGUGAUGUGCCGCUGCCCCGGUGAUUGGUUUUGAAUGACGUCAUUUAUACGUCGCAGACAAUCACCGGGGGAAACCCCGCACAGAGUGCGGAGGAGAAGAAACUUCAGAGAGACAGACGAAAAACGGAAAGAGAUACCUAUACUAUUGCUACAUACAUACCUACCACUAGCAAGUGAAUUCCACCAGCGAGUGAAUGGCCUGGUUUGGUGGAUACAUCUUGUGAGGAAUGUAACGCCAACCGAGCACAACACGAAGACAGUUGAGAAAUAUUGUUAUGAACCUUUACCCAAGAAAUUGAGGGCAAAAUGGUACGCUGCAAGGAAGAAUGCUGUACAACAUCCACUUCUACCUGCUCUCCAACUUCUUAUACGAGGAGAGUCAGACAGUCGCCAUAAAUGCUGAAUUGGUGUAUGCUCAUGGAACACGCACUGCAAAAUCCUUAUUGCUUGCUUCUAGCCGAGUUAUAAGCCGAAAUGCUCGGAUAUAAUAUGUAUGGAAUCCAUUGGUGCAACAAAACUCAAAUAAAACUAUAGUAAAACAUUAAUUAAAUGUUGAGAUAAGAAGGAAACUAUUUGUAUGUAUGUAUUAUUUAUUGUUGGCUACUGUUAAAACAGUACUAUAAUUAAAUGUUAAGAUAAAAACAACAAAAUGCUGACUGAAGCUUUGGAGGAACUAAGCAUUUCCCCAGAAAGCAGACUGGUGUACAUAUCUGGUCAAACUUCCAUAAUAAACUAAUGGGUCGUAGUUGGACUGACCCCUUCUAAUAAAUCAACCAAGAGUGUGUUUGUGGGAUUUUGUUCUAUUUGAUAUUUUUUUUUAAAGAAAAAGUUACCGUAUUGUCAAGGCGUUUUAGUAGAGUGAUGGGUACAGUAGUAAGAAGGGCUCGGGCCCCGUGGCCCCUCAAGGACCCAUUUGAACUGGGACUUGGCCCAUAAAGCUCAAUAGUAAAAUGCUAGUUAGUAGCAAGAGAACCCUCCCCUACUCCACCCCGAGAGCUCACGAACAUUAGUCAACUGGGUCCUGUAUAUUUUUUAAUAGUAUGCCAUAAUCAGAUUUACAGGACAAUAUAUGAAAAACUACACAGUUUCUGAUAUGUAUAUACCAGAAAGCAUAACUCAUCAUUGGCAGAGCUUUCAAAUGAUACCAAACACGACAACUUUUGGUAAGUUCGAUUUUUUGACCAUUAACCUUUUGUGUCAUGUGACUUUAUAUAUUGGUCUAUAUCGCUGUAAAUAUGCAUCAUGUUGUUUAGGUGUAGUGACAACAAAUGAUCAGUGUAUAAUUCCCUUUCCAUUGACACCAAUCAUGACCAUGUUUUAUGUGGUGCGUCAGCCAUCUUAAAAUUCAAAAUGGCAGUCUAUGACGGGAAAAAAGUGGCGCCUAACUUUUUUGAAUUCAGCAAUUGUUUGUCAUAUUUUAUUCAAUCUGUUAGUUGAAUCUCUUAAACGAUUUGUCACUUAUUAUUAUAUUUUAUAUAUUUGUAUUAUAAAAUAAAACCAUUACUCAUGUCAAUUAUUCAUAGAUUCAUCUAUGAAAAAUAGAAUAGAAAAGGAAAAAUUGCCUAGUGCCAGUUUGCCGGGCGAUGGGCCUGGCACACCUGGAUAUGCACCUAAAAAGAAAACAUGGAUUUGCCGUAAGUUACCUUACAAAUGAUACGCAGCAAAAUACAAUGUUAAAAUGACCAUCAUCAUUAAAAGUCCUAUUUUAAUACCCGAUUGUUAGGCCUACUUAGUAACAUAAAAAAUUCAGGUCCCAAAACCUUGACUCAGAAUUACCGGGAUGGUCUCCGGCGGGGAAUAGUUUCACCUGUGUAUAUGAUUAUAAUACGCUACAACCAACUAUACGAAUUUGUCUCGG